AAGGAUUUAUUGAUAAUUGGUAUUAUCUAUAAUUUUCGUGACAAAAUUAUAUUUGAAGUUCAAUUCUUCUAAAUUCUA
rnacentral:tRNA from 1 species